GAAAAUUGUUUCCUGUUAACAUGAAAAGCUCUGAAAGCCCAUGAGUCUUCUGAUGAUGUCAAGCAGGCCAGUGACCCACUUUGAGAAGUCAAGGAAAUGCUUGCUGGAGGAAGCAGAAGGCAUUGGAUCAGUGCUUUCAAUGUCUGACUUUCAGAGAAUAUUAAAUUAGUCCUCCAAUUAUAUUUUCCUGAAGAAAUAAGUGAAUUGAACCAUUUCAAAGUGUCUGGAAAAGGGAAAAGUCAUUGCUUCCACUUCUGUUAACUCCUGCUUGACAUUAAUCCUAUCACAGAAACCUGCAGAAGACAGGAAAUCCAUUCAUUCUUUUAGGCCGACAUCUGUUGAAUAUCUACUGCAUUCCAGGCACUGUUGGAGGCAGAAAAUGUACAAAAUCCAGUAGAACAUGCUAAGUCAGCGCACGAAAAAACAACAGUCUUCUGCAAACAAAACCAUGUUUUUCCAAAACAAUUGCAAUUUCAGAUAAGCUUUUACUUUAUGAUGGUUUCCAAUAAGAAAAUGGCAACAUCAAAGUCAUUUUGGAGCCAUGUGACAAUAAAGCUACAUGUCACAGCCUUAAAUAAUGAUAAAUUAAUUCUGGCUUUUUUCUUGAUAUCCUUUGUCCCUUAUCUUGGCCUUCAGCAAAGUGCUUCUCAUCAUCAUAUUCACCAUGCACACAUAUACAUGAAACUAUAAUGACAAAUGAUGAUAUGAAUAUCCAUUGCUCCAACAAAUAUAAUCUUGAUACCAAUAACAAUAAUGAAAAUAAG
rnacentral:lncRNA from 1 species